CAGACAUCCAUAUACACACACCUUGGGUCAGGCAGCCGUAUACACACACCUUGGGUCAGACAGCCACAUGCACACACCUUGGGUCAGGCAGCCAUAUACACACACCUUGGGUCAGUCAGCCAUAUACACACACCUUGGGUCAGGCAGCCAUAUACACACACCUUGGGUCAGACAGCCAUAUACACAAACCUUGGGUCAGGCAGCCGUAUACACACACCUUGG